UACGUAGGGGGCAAGCGUUGUCCGGAAUCAUUGGGCGUAAAGCGCGCGUAGGCGGCCCGGUAAGUCCGCUGUAAAAGUCCAGGGCUCAACCCUGGAAAGCCGGUGGAUACUGGCGGGCUAGAGUGCGGUAGAGGAGAGUGGAAUUCCCGGUGUAGCAGUGAAAUGCGUAGAGAUCGGGAGGAACAUCAGUUGCGAAGGCGGCUCUCUGGACCAGCACUGACACUGAGGCACGAAAGCGUGGGGAGCAAACAGG
rnacentral:rRNA from 1 species